CCCCCCCCCUUCCAUAAAUAAUGACCGGUCCCUUAAAAAGUAAAAACAAAUACCGUAAAAUUUGAAGAAUUACUACACUAUAAUGUAUAUCAAGAUAUACGCGCCGUCUCGUAAAAUCCGUUAAUAGUGGUGUAAAAGUUACUUAUUUUUGGAACUCGUCAUUUUCCUAAAUUAAUGUAUAAGUAUUAUAAGCAUAGAUAUCUUAUAUACACUAGAUAGCGCAUCUCUUUUAGUAAAAUUGAAACCAAGAAUACUCCAGCCGUUACCCCCAUUUGAAUAGAUGGCGGCCAUGUUGGUAGUUCCCACUCGCCACAUCGUUUGAAUAGUUUAAAAAUGCAUUUGGAAAAGGUUUAACUUAAUGUUUAAGUUCCCUGUUUAAGAAAUAGAAAACAUACAAAUCUUCUCAUUUCAUGGGAAUAUCCUGAGUCUGCAAUCACGGCUUCAAUUUUUGAAUUGCAGAAUAAUUAGAUGCACUAUCUAGUGUAUAUAAGAUAUCUAUGGUAUUAAGAUAUUUCAGAGAUUACCACGAAUGACCACGAGUGGCCAAAACAAGUUUAGAACAGAAAAAUUGUUAUAAAAGGCGCUGUAAUGAAAAUAAUUAACUAUUUCAUGUCGAGUAUUAAAUACUCUACAUAAACUAGAACCACUAAAAAAGUUACUAUCAAUUUUUUUGUAACUUUUUAAAGUUACAUCUGCAGGUUUUAGUAAUUAUGGCUAAUUAAUUUCCCAAUCGAGCAGAGGACUGGGCCUAGUUGAUGUUUGGAGGGACGUUUGGAGGGACAACAAGUUAUAGUGAGCGAGCUAAAUAUAUAUUAAAAGAUGCCUUAUUGUAAUUGCUGCGUUUCGGGCUGCACAAAUAACUUUAGAAAUGUAGAAAAACUUCCUAGAUGCCAUAUUCGGCAUAUUGUUUAUUUUUUGUCCCUCUAAACAAGCGACUAGACCCAGUCCUCUGCUCGAUUAGGAAAUGGCUAAUUAUAUUGACAAUAAGUUCAAUUAAAUUACUGUAAACAAUAAGAUAACCCAACUGCACAGCGCGCCUUUCACUGAAAUUUUAAAAUAAUAGCUAGCUCACAUUUUGUGGGAAGAAAAAAGUGAAAAUAAUAAAAAAUAAAGUUUUUGCGUUUCAGUCAAUGCGUGCGCAUAACACGUCCCAUAAUAAUUAGCGCAAUGUACGUAGUAUUUAAUGUUGACUUGAGGCCGUCCACGUCGUGCGACACAAUGUAAAAUCCAUCGGAAACCGUCCGAUUCAGUGAAAUAAUUUUUUAGGGUCCGAAAUGGGCCUUCUUAUUGUGCAAAUCAAGAAAAGGUCACACUGCGACAAACUUGAACGCCUCUGCCAUUCUAACCGUGUUCCUCUUGAAAACAAACUUCAGCUGUUUAUUAUACUGAUAUUAUUAUACCAAUGCUCAAAAUUACUUAGGUUUCUUUACACAUAUUGUAAAAUGCGAGAUUUCGCACUGCGCAUUAUUUUGCAUAUUUAACGUCAUUUUAACGUCUGCGCAUAUUUUUAUCUAUUAAAAUAAUGCGCAAACGGUCAAAACCUGUCAACCACGAUUUCGUGCUUCGUUGUAAAGCAAACUUACUAGUGUUCUUAGUGGCACACCAGACAAACUUACAAUUUCCAUGUAACGUUUUUUAAUCAACGUGCAACAUCAGCACUGUAAAAUGCUUGUCGUCUUAAAAAUAGUGAUUAUUAAGAUAUAUACACAUUCAAAGUUUAUUCUUGUUCGUGGUUGGUCAACAACCACGUUGCCAAGUUCAAACUCGUUCCCAGGGCUCGCCCACCCUAUUUAAAAAACCGGGCGAGUGAGUCUUGGGUACGAGGUUGUCCCAGUGAACUCUAUAAAAACUGGAACGAUAACCCCGGCUGUGUUUUUGAAGCCAAUUAAAGAUGGCGGAAAUUGAAGCCCGUGUUGUAAAAAAAGUACAUAAAAUCGGGAUCAUUUCAUGUAGAAAUUUCAUAACUAUCUUUCGGCCGACUAUUUCAAGUCCAGCUUUACCAUGGCCCUAAAAGGCCUGUUUCCAAAAUCACAGCUGAAAUGCCUCAUUAUGUAUUGUUUCUAAUGCGUUCGGCACAUGAGAAGCGCGACGUUUGAAACAGGCCUAAGAAACUGGAGCAAGUGGUCUUUCAGAAUAAGCAAAUUUUAGAAACACUUAAAAGGAAAGUUAUUUGACGAGUGAAAAACAAGUUCAGAAUCCGCGAACAAACACCAGCAAACUUUUGUCUUUCUGGACUAUCUAUGAGGGAUUUGAACUGAACACACAAUAAUAUGGAGUUUUUGGCUUUCAAUUUGGGCAUUCACCACUAAAAAUGCGCAUUUAUAUGCCGAAAUUGAAAAACAUCUAUAGGAAAACCUUUGUCAUUUAUCACUAGCUCCCAUGAAGCCCACGCGAAAUACACGCAUAUUUUAAAAUACACGAGAUCACUCUAUAGGCCGCAAUCUUUGCUUCACUCAAUCAUAGGGCCGUUUACCAGGAGUUAUCAUUCCAGUAUUUAUAGAGUUCACUGGGUUGUCCCACGUUGGUUCCUGACACAACAAAUUCAUUAUAAUUAUUUAAUUGGACAUUCAUUCAUGUUUAUAGUAGUAUAUGUCAUGUCAAUAAAAUUAUCCAGUUUUUAAAAGCAGUACUCCGACAGGGAGCCGCAUGAUAAUGGCCUGUAUAUAUUUGUAUAUGAUGUACGAACGCACAGCAUUCUUAUACUCAUUAAAUUUAUCGUUCUUGGGGAAUUAAGUUAGUGUGUGAGAAUUAACUUUUUCCAGCUGCUACGCAACAUAUAUUAGAACAAAUUAUUUCCCCGUUAUAUUAUUGUCGUUAUUAAGGGCGAUUUACACUACACAACUUCCUAAAACUGUCGCAUGCAACUUGCUUACAACUUGAGUUGUACUGUGUAAAUCAAGCACACAACUCACCUACACAACAACGACAACAAGAUUUACACAGUACAACUCAAGUUGUAAGCAGGUUGCAUGCGACAGUUUUAUAGGGCAAAACUCAAAAGUUGUUUAGUGUAAAUUGGCCUUUAGAAGCAAGCGACUUUACGUUCGUACCGCGGGUACAAAGUUGGCUUCAACGAUUUUCAUACAUUUCAUUUGGUAUACCUUUACUCCACAAAACGCACGGUAUAUGGGAGAGGUUCUGGGCUGAGGUUCUUGGAUUUGGCACGUCAAAACAUCAACACAUUCUGUUUGAAUCUCUAUCUACCUAUUACGACGCCCAAGCUUCUGGCUUCAUCAAUACAGGUUGCCUUUCCU
rnacentral:lncRNA from 1 species